rnacentral:misc_RNA from 1 species
AACCCCACACAUUUCUUCAUACAAUACCACAAUAAAAAAAACACAAACCUUCAAUAUUAAAACCUAAAUUUACAAAAAACUUAAAACUUAAUUUUUUAUUUUAUUUAAUUUUAUUUUAUUUAAAUCAAACCACCACAUCAUUUAAAAUUUUUACACAUUCUAAUUAUUCAAUUCCAAAACACCAAACUUAUACUACACACAAUCCCCAUAAAAAAACCCCCUCAACAAAACAACCACAAAUACUACCAUAAAAAAACAACAAAAUACCCUCCUCCCUUAUUUACUACCUAAACAACCACCAAAUUUUAAAACCCAUACACCCUACUAAAUUUCUAAAAUACAAUUCAUAAACCCUUCCCUUUCCCAUCCCAACAAAUAAUCAAAAACCCACUAACCUCCAAAAUACCAAAAACAAAACUAAACCAACCAACCAAAAUUCAAAAUUCUAACCCUUAAACUUACAACAAACACUCAACUACUUAAAAAAACCACACAACUCUAACCUUUCAACAAAAAAAUAAAACAAUCAAAA